CCUACGGGCGGCAGCAGUGGGGAAUAUUGCACAAUGGGGGAAACCCUGAUGCAGCGAAGCCGCGUGAGUGAAGAAGUUUUUCGGUAUGUAAAGCCCUAUCAGCAGGGAAGAAAAUGACGGUACCUGAUUAAGAAGCCCCGGAUAACUACGGUACAGCAGCCGCGGUAAUACGUAGGGGGCCAGCGUUAUCCGGAUUUACUGGGUGUAAAGGGAGCGUAGACGGCAGGACAAGUCUGGAGUGAAAUGCCGGGGCUUAACCCCGGAACUGCUUUGGAAACUGUGCAGCUAGAGUGAAGGAGAGGUAAGUGGAAUUCCUGGUGUAGCGGUGAAAUGCGUAGAUAUUAGGAGGAACACCAGUUGCGAAGGCGGCUUACUGGACUCUAACUGACGUUGAGGCUCGAAAGCGUGGGUAGCAAACAGGAUUAGAUACCCGGGUAGUC
rnacentral:rRNA from 1 species